GACGAACGCUGGCGGCGUGCUUAACACAUGCAAGUCGAACGGUACCAGAGAAGUAGUAAUAUUUUCUGGUAUAGUGGCGGACGGGUGAGUAACGCGUGAGCAAUCUACCUUAGAGUGGGGGACAACAUUCGGAAACGGAUGCUAAUACCGCAUAAGACCACAGCGGCACAUGCCGGAGGGGUCAAAGGAGAAAUCCGCUUUAAGAUGAGCUCGCGUCCCAUUAGCUAGUUGGUGAGGUAACGGCCCACCAAGGCUGCGAUGGGUAGCCGACCUGAGAGGGUGAUCGGCCACACUGGAACUGAGACACGGUCCAGACUCCUACGGGAGGCAGCAGUGGGGAAUAUUGGGCAAUGGGCGAAAGCCUGACCCAGCAACGCCGCGUGAUUGAAGAAGGUCUUCGGAUUGUAAAGAUCUGUCCUAUGGGACGAAACAAAUGACGGUACCAUAGGAGGAAGCCCCGGCUAACUACGUG
rnacentral:rRNA from 1 species